rnacentral:lncRNA from 1 species
GAAUUUCGUUAUUCAAAAGACAAACGUGAGGAUGCUUUGCCUAAAUUUGUACAUGCACUUGACCAAUCACAUGCAUUUCUCACUCUUCUCUUUCUUAUCCCGACCGCACAUGCAUGUUCCCCUUUCACAUCUCUCCUCUCAACCGGAUACUAAAUCAUAAUAUCACGCCACAAGCAUGAUUUCCACCUUUUUUCUCCUCCCAACCAAUAUUGUUUGUUUAGCAUUGCAUGACUUCCUCCCACAUCAUCUCCACAUAUCACGUCC